rnacentral:rRNA from 1 species
AGAGUUUGAUCCUGGCUCAGGAUGAACGCUAGCUACAGGCUUAACACAUGCAAGUCGAGGGGAAACGAUAGAGAAAGCUUGCUUUUUCUAGGCGUCGACCGGCGCACGGGUGAGUAACGCGUAUCCAACCUGCCCACCACUUGGGGAUAACCUUGCGAAAGUAAGACUAAUACCCAAUGACGUCUCUAGAAGACAUCUGAAAGGGAUUAAAGAUUUAUCGGUGAUGGAUGGGGAUGCGUCUGAUUAGCUUGUUGGCGGGGUAACGGCCCACCAAGGCAACGAUCAGUAGGGGUUCUGAGAGGAAGGUCCCCCACAUUGGAACUGAGACACGGUCCAAACUCCUACGGGAGGCAGCAGUGAGGAAUAUUGGUCAAUGGGCGAGAGCCUGAACCAGCCAAGUAGCGUGCAGGAUGACGGCCCUAUGGGUUGCAAACUGCUUUUAUAAGGGAAUAAAGUGAGUCUCGAGAGGCUUUUUGCAAGUACCUUAUGAAUAAGGACCGGCUAAUUCCGUGCCAGCAGCCGCGGUAAUACGGAAGGUCCGGGCGUUAUCCGGAUUAUAUUGGGUUUAAAGGGAGCGUAGGCCGGAGAUUAAGCGUGUUGUGAAAUGUAGAUGCUCAACGUCUGCACUGCAGCGCGAACUGGUUUCCUUGAGUACGCACAAAGUGGGCGGAAUUCGUGGUGUAGCGGUGAAAUGCUUAGAUAUCACGAAGAACUCCGAUUGCGAAGGCAGCUCACUGGAGCGCAACUGACGCUGAAGCUCGAAAGUGCGGGUAUCGAACAGGAUUAGAUACCCUGGUAGUCCGCACGGUAAACGAUGGAUGCCCGCUGUUGGUCUGAAUAGGUCAGCGGCC